rnacentral:rRNA from 1 species
GUGCCAGCCGCCGCGGUAAUACCGGCAGCUCGAGUGAUGGCCGAUUUUAUUGGGCCUAAAGCGUCCGUAGCCGGCCACGCAAGUCCAUCGGGAAAUCCGCCAGCCCAACUGGCGGGCGUCCGGUGGAACCUGUGUGGCUUGGGACCGGAAGACCCGACAGGUACGUCUUGGGUAGGAGUGAAAUCCCGUAAUCCUGGACGGACCGCCGAUGGCGAAAGCAUGUCGGGAAGACGGAUCCGACGGUGAGGGACGAAAGCCAGGGUCUCGAACCGGAUUAGAUACCCCUGUAGUCC